rnacentral:rRNA from 1 species
CGGCGUGCCUAAUACAUGCAAGUCGAGCGAACUUGCGGGAGCUUGCUCCCAAAAGUUAGCGGCGGACGGGUGAGUAACACGUGGGCAACCUGCCUGUAAGACUGGGAUAACUUCGGGAAACCGGAGCUAAUACCGGAUAAUUCUUUCCUGCACAUGCAGGGAAGCUGAAAGACGGUUUCGGCUGUCACUUACAGAUGGGCCCGCGGCGCAUUAGCUAGUUGGUGAGGUAACGGCUCACCAAGGCAACGAUGCGUAGCCGACCUGAGAGGGUGAUCGGCCACACUGGGACUGAGACACGGCCCAGACUCCUACGGGAGGCAGCAGUAGGGAAUCUUCCGCAAUGGACGAAAGUCUGACGGAGCAACGCCGCGUGAGUGAUGAAGGUUUUCGGAUCGUAAAACUCUGUUGUUAGGGAAGAACAAGUACCGGAGUAACUGCCGGUACCUUGACGGUACCUAACCAGAAAGCCACGGCUAACUACGUGCCAGCAGCCGCGGUAAUACGUAGGUGGCAAGCGUUGUCCGGAAUUAUUGGGCGUAAAGCGCGCGCAGGCGGUCCUUUAAGUCUGAUGUGAAAGCCCACGGCUCAACCGU